UACGUAGGUGGCAAGCGUUGUCCGGAAUUACUGGGUGUAAAGGGUUCGUAGGCGGUGCGGCAAGUUGGGAGUGAAAUCUCUGGGCUUAACCCAGAGGCUGCUUCCAAAACUGCUGUGCUUGAGUGUGGGGGAGGCGCGUGGAAUUGCAGGUGUAGCGGUGAAAUGCGUAGAUAUCUGCAGGAACACCCGUGGCGAAAGCGGCGCGCUGGACCACUACUGACGCUGAGGAACGAAAGCUAGGGGAGCAAACAGG
rnacentral:rRNA from 1 species